rnacentral:rRNA from 1 species
UAACGCGUGAGUAACCUGCCUUCAAGAGGGGGAUAACAUUCUGAAAGAAUGCUAAUACCGCAUGACAUAUCGGAACCACAUGGUUUUGAUAUCAAAGAUUUUAUCGCUUGAAGAUGGACUCGCGUCCGAUUAGUUAGUUGGUGAGGUAACGGCUCACCAAGACCGCGAUCGGUAGCCGGACUGAGAGGUUGAACGGCCACAUUGGGACUGAGACACGGCCCAGACUCCUACGGGAGGCAGCAUG